AUUGUUUUCAGACAUUUUUCUUUAAGAUGUUUUAUGUGUGGGAUGAAAGUGAGUCUAUUGUCAAGUAUAACACCUAGAAAUUUGUGUUCUUUGUUUACAGGUAUCUGUUGUCCACACAGUUCUAAGCAAGGAUCCGGAACCAGGCCUCUCUUUCUUGUAUACAGAACACAAGAACUCUUAAAGGAUUGCGAGUAAUGGUUGGCACUUGACACGCUCUCAAAGUGCUCCCCAAGUGAGUCCGCCUGAUCUUGUAGGGUAUCGCCUUCUGUGUUUACCAAAGGGAGUGCAUGUGCUUGUCGCCCUCUUAUCCUAUUGACCCUGUUCCAGGCUUUCGCCUCAUCUCUGAACGAGUUAAUACUCGAUAGAAACUUCUGCCAACUUUCUCGUCUGGCCUGUCGGCGGGUUCGCCUGCCUUCGGAUUUUACUUUUUUAAAGUUGACUAGAUUCUCUGCAGUGGGAGAAGCGCGUAGCAACCCCCACGCCCUGUUCUGUUGUUUACGAGCGAUCCUACAAUCGUCGUUCCACCAUGGGACACGUCGUUUGCAGGCCAAGCCUUUUACUUCUGAUAUGCAUUUAAAUGCGACAUCUAUUAUGAAUGCUGUAAAAAACUCGACUGCAGCGUCAAUUCCUAACGAAGACAGGUCAGCCCAUGAGAUACUAGAUAGAGAUCGAAAUUUCUCCCAAUCAGCUGUCUCAAUCUUCCACCUAGGAGCGUAUGGUGGAUAUUCGUUUUCUUUAUAUGAUCUUAGCAGUAUAGGGAAGUGGUCGCUACCGUAAGGGUUGUCGGUAACUUCCCAUUCAAGUUCAGGCAGUACAGACGGGGAGACUAUACUAAGAUCUAUUGACGAGAGGGAUCGGUUUGCAAGAGAGUAAUAUGUGGGUUCUUUCUUAUUGAGAAGGCACGCUCCAGAAGAAAAAAGGAACUGUUCAACAAGGCGACCUCGCGCAUCUAUACGAGAGUCGCCCCACAGGGAGCUGUGCGCAUUGAAAUCGCCAAGAAGAGCAUAAGGUUCUGGCAAUUGAUCGAUCAAGGAGUGAAAUUCAUGUUUGUUCAGUUGGUAAUGCGGGGGUAUGUAAAGGGAGCAAAUGGUGAUGAGUUUGUUUAGUAGGACAACUCGAACCGCCACUGCUUCAAGGGGCGUUUGUAGCUGUAGAGGUUGACAGGCAAUACUUCUAUGAGUAAGAAUCGCAACACCACCCGAUGAUGCGACGGCAUCAUCGCGAUCUUUGCGAAACGUAACAUACGUACGGAGAAAGUUUGUGUGUUUAGAUUUUAAGUGUGUUUGCUGUAAACACAGCACUUUUGGAUUAUGUUUGUGGAUGAGUUCUUGCAAAUCAUCAAGGUUUCUAAGGAGACCUCUGAUGUUCCAUUGAAUGAUUUGUGUAUCCAUGUUUAAGGUAAAUUGGUGCUGUGUUUACGGAAACGGAGUGGAUGCCUUAUAUUACAGAGCCCUUUCGAGGCCCUGUAAUAGGUGUUUUGUUCUUUUUGAAGCGUUCGAGCGAUUCUCGACGCUCCUUAGGCGUUUGGUGCGCCUUGGGGACAGGUGUAGUGUCCAUUGCCUCGUGUGAGGCGCCGGACAAGCGCUCUUGCGAGCGAGAGGUUUUCAGAGGGAGUCCCGCCUUGGAGGGCAAGACCCCUGCGCCCACCAGCCCGGAGGUCG
rnacentral:lncRNA from 1 species